rnacentral:rRNA from 1 species
AGGAGUGACCAUAUCAACACUAAUGCAUGGGAUUCCAUCCAAACUCAGAAGAUAAGCGUGCUUGGGCAAGAAUGGUACUUAUUGAUAUGUCACAUAUG